rnacentral:lncRNA from 1 species
CUUUACGCCGCGCUCGCGGCUCUCCGGCGCGUCGUCGGUGGUCUGCAGGAAGAAGGCGUGGUGGCUGCCGCCGUGGCCGUGCUUCGCGAACAGGUCGGCCGGCGGGAGGCUGGCCGGGUCGUCGUCGAUGAUGGCGUGGGCGAAGGGCGGGUCGCGGACGCCGACCGCGCGCGGGAGGAGGUAGUGGGCGACGAGGUCGGCGUCCGUCGGGUCGAACUUGAACGCCGGCGCCGUCUGGAAGCCGAACCUGGAGGCCUCCAUCCCCGCGCGUCUGGAUCUGGUUCGAGGCGGGGGUGCUCGUCGGGGCUGCCCGGAAGCGCGGGCCUAGCGGGGUCGAUGCUUCGCCGCCGACGAGCGGAGGAGGUGGAGGGAGGAGGGGGGCGAUUUGGAUUCUGAGCCGCCGGCGUGGAAGAAGUGGAGGWAGAGAAACUAACCUGACACUGCCUUUUAUUGAAACCGCAAAAUAGAACUUGAACAAUAACAACGAUCAGAAAU